AGAGAGAGACAUGCGCGCAUAUCAAUAAGCGGAGGAAAAGAAACUAACUAGGAUUCCCUCAGUAACGGCGAGUGAAGCGGGAAGAGCUCAAAUUUGAAAUCUUCGAGGUUCUACCUUGACGAAUUGUAGUUUAAAGAAGUGUUUUCUGUUGGAGUUUUGGUAAAAGUUCUUUGGAAUAGGACAUCAUAGAGGGUGAGAAUCCCGUAUUUGACCAUUAUUUCCAGCUUUGUGAUACACUUUCAAAGAGUCGGAUUGUAUGGGAAUGCAGUCCAAAAUGGGUGGUAAAUUUCAUCUAAAGCUAAAUAUUGGCGAGAGACCGAUAGCGAACAAGUACCGUGAGGGAAAGAUGAAAAGAACUUUGAAAAGAGAGUUAAACAGUACGUGAAAUUGUCAAAAGGGAAGCGUUUGACACCAGUGUUGUUUUUCUGAAAAUCAAUUAAAGAACUGUUUAUGCUAAGUUGUUUAGACUUUAUCAGCUAACUGUUUAGUUUUGAGCUUUUCUUUAAUGCACUUUUCAGUUAACAAGUCAACAUCAAUUUCUUUUGCUGUAAAAAAGCUUGAGGAAGGUGGCUUGAGAUUCGUCUUAAGUGUUUAUAGCCUCUUGCCUAUGCAGUCGGAGAGAUUGAGGUCUGCAGCGUAGAUCCUUCGGGGCUAAAUGCAUUUGUGCUAAGUUAUAGCAUUUUAUAGACAACUUGUUGACUAUGAUUUGUCUUGUAGCUUACUCGCUUAUGUUAUUUUACCUACGCUUAGGAUGUUGAGCGCAUGUCUCUCUCU
rnacentral:rRNA from 1 species